rnacentral:tRNA from 1 species
GGACGGUAAUCUUGAUGGUACGGGAGUGCGGUCUGCAAAACCGUAAUGGACGGUUCGAAUCCGUCACCGUUCU